rnacentral:rRNA from 1 species
GCCAGCGGCGAUAGCAGGUUGAAUGAACCAGUUCCCCGUGAAUCACUGAAGUUAAGCAACGCUGCGCGUGGUUAGUGUCCGGAUGGGUGACCAUCUAGGCAAUUGCUUGCUGCUGGCA